CCUACGGGAGGCAGCAGUGGGGAAUAUUGGGCAAUGGGCGCAAGCCUGACCCAGCAACGCCGCGUGAAGGAAGAAGGCUUUCGGGUUGUAAACUUCUUUUCUCAGGGACGAAGCAAGUGACGGUACCUGAGGAAUAAGCCACGGCUAACUACGUGCCAGCAUCCGCGGUAAUACGUAGGUGGCAAGCGUUAUCCGGAUUUACUGGGUGUAAAGGGCGUGUAGGCGGGAAAGCAAGUCAGAUGUGAAAACCAUGGGCUCAACCUGUGGCCUGCAUUUGAUAAUGUUUUUCUUGAGUACUGGAGAGGCAGACGGAAUUCCUAGUGUAGCGGUGAAAUGCGGAGAUAUUAGGAGGAACACCAGUGGCGAAGGCGGUCUGCUGGACAGCAACUGACGCUGAGGCGCGAAAGCGUGGGGAGCAAACAGGAUUAGAUACCCGAGUAGUC
rnacentral:rRNA from 1 species